AAGCCCCACAACACAGAAUAGAGAAGAGUGGCUCUGGAGCUGAGAGAUGAUGUUUCAAUAACCAGCGCAAGGAACAAAACUUGUUUUUUCCAUUUGGCUUGUCUUCCAACAUCACCUCCAGAAAGUAGAGAUUCUAUGAGUUUACUUGGUCUUGAGAUUGCUUGAUCUUAGAGAAGAUUAAGAAGAAAUGGCCUACACCUCAGCAUGCUCUGGACAUCAUUAAUCAAUAGGUACACCAUGUAAGACUCCCGCUUCCAUGCUGCCUUGUUGAGAGCGUAGAGGACAGGUGGAAGAAAAAGUAAAAGGCAAAG